UACGUAGGGACCAAGCGUUGUUCGGAUUUACUGGGCGUAAAGGGCGCGUAGGCGGCGUGACAAGUCACUUGUGAAAUCUCCGGGCUUAACUCGGAACGGCCAAGUGAUACUGUCGUGCUAGAGUGCAGAAGGGGCAAUCGGAAUUCUUGGUGUAGCGGUGAAAUGCGUAGAUAUCGAGAGGAACACCUGCGGCGAAGGCGGGUUGCUGGGCCGACACUGACGCUGAUGCGCGAAAGCCAGGGGAGCGAACGGG
rnacentral:rRNA from 1 species